CGAUUCCCCUCCUCUCCUCACUCACUCUGAAAUCCCUAGCUCGCCCGCGCCGCUCUUCCUCUGGCCCGCGCCGCUCUCCCUCUCGCCCACGCCGCUCUUCCUCUGGCCCGUGCCGCUCUCCCUCUCACCCACGCCGCUCGCCUGCGUCUACGUCGCCGCUUCUCCCUUUCGCCCGCGCCGCCUCUCCCUCUCGCCGGCGUCGCAUGCGCCACCUUCUCCUGCUCAAGCCAAAGCUGGCUUUUUUACUGAAGUCCAGGAAGAGCAGCAGUAGUGCGGGGCAGACAGCCUUGUCCUGCUCGACGACGGUGGCAGCGUUCUCCGUCUCGACGACGGCGGCGACAAACGCUAGCGCUCCUCGUCUUCCUCGACCUGCAAGGAGGAGCACCGGUACUGGAGAUGCGGCUGCUGCUGCCAGGUCUGCACGACGUGGAGGUCCUGCAGAUGCGGUUGCUGCUCUGGCGGACGAGGGGGAGUUCAAGCUGCCGGGCGACUUCAACUUCAUCUUCAUCUGCAGAUCAGGCGCAUACGAUUCGCUUGAUUCGGGUGGGAACAUUACAAUCAAGUGGGCACUGGAAUGAUCAUGUGAUGCACUGUUUGAAGUUAAGACUAAUUCAGUUCAGUCAGUUUGAAGCUAAGACAAAUUUCCUUGGCAUUUCACUAGAUGUGGUGUUAAUGGCCUGAAGAUUUUAUCAGAUUAUCCACCAUUCAUCAUGCAACCGGACUGGCAAAUACUGCUGAAUAUGUUCAGAAGCAGAAAUUGGAACAAAGGAAAACAUCACAUGCUCCGACCAGAUUAAUUUCCAACUUAGCUAGAUGACCAGAUUAAUUUCCAACUUAGCUAGAUGACCAGAUUAAUUUCCAACUUAGCUAGAUGCCUAGUUAUGGGAAUCGACCAGAUUAAUUUCCAACUCAGCUAGAUCCUUGCUAUGGAGACAGAGGAGUCGUAGGUUGGGCAUCGCCCCCUCCUCAAAUCCCAGGAGUACUCUAUGGAUUACAGAAGAAUUGAUUUGUAAGAUUGCCCACAAGUGAUACUGUGCAGAAAAUUGUGAAAUUAGUCUGACUUCUACUGUACAGAAGAAUUGAUUUGUAAGAUUGCACACAAGAAUUGAUCUGAGUUCUGCUGUUGUGCAAGGGGAGAGGCGAGGAGAACCUGCCUAGAAGCAACGUGCCGCGGCGGCGGGGACAGGUGGGCUGGGCGCGGCGAGGACCAAUCUGGGGCGGCGACGACCAAGCUGGGCGGGGGCGGCUACCAAAUAGGCACAGCGGCGGCGGCCAAGCGGGCGCGGCAGCAACCAAGCGGGCGCAGCGGAGGCCGAACUGGGCACCUGGGAUCGGGACCGAGUGCCUGCAGGCGGGGCCCGAGCGCUUGGACGAAGGGGAUGACGCGAGCUCCUGCAGGAGGAAGACGGCACGCUGGAGAAGGAAGACGGGCGAGCUCCUGUAGGAAGAAGACGACGCGAGCUCUGGAGGAGGAAGACGACUCAAAUUUCAAAUCGAGGGUAAAACUGUCCAUUUCCCCAUUUGUCGGCUGUGUCUGAAAAUUGUAAACGCUCUUAUAAAAGUUUACAGAGGGAGUACUUAAGAAAGUUUUACAAUGUCACUUGCCCAGUUUAACAAACAACGAAGGAACAAAAAGAAAAUGUUAACCAUCAGCCAUGAGGUACACCACGCUGAUUGCCACUAACUGAUGUAACAAGAACUUUUCAAGAAAACAGUUUUCUUGAACUAUGUCUAGAAACAAGACCU